rnacentral:rRNA from 1 species
CGCGUGAGGGAGAAGCCUACUGGGUUGUAAACCUCUUUUUUCAGGGAGGAAAAAAAUGACGUGUACCUGAAGAAUAAGCAUCGGCUAACUCCGUGCCAGCAGCCGCGGUAAGACGGAGGAUGCAAGUGUUAUCCGGAAUUACUGGGCGUAAAGCGUCUGUAGGUGGUUUAAUAAGUCAACUGUUAAAUCUUGAGGCUUAACUUCAAAACAGCAGUCGAAACUAUUAGACUAGAGUAUAGUAGGGGUAAAGGGAAUUUCCAGUGGAGCGGUGAAAUGCGUAGAUAUUGGAAAGAACACCGAUGGCGAAAGCACUUUACUGGGCUAUUACUAACACUCAGAGACGAAAGCUAGGGUAGCAAAAGGGAUU